AGCGAACGCUGGCGGCAUGCUUAACACAUGCAAGUCUGACGGGCACUUUCGGGUGUCAGUGGCGGACGGGUGAGUAACGCGUAGGGAUUUGUCGUUGGGUGGGGGAUAACCUUGGGAAACCGGGGCUAAGACCGCAUGACGCCUGUGGGCCAAAGCAGCGAUGCGCCUGACGAGGAGCCUGCGUUCGAUUAGCUUGUUGGUGGGGUAAUGGCCUACCAAGGCUGCGAUCGAUAGCUGGUCUGAGAGGAUGAUCAGCCACACUGGGACUGAGACACGGCCCAGACUCCUACGGGAGGCAGCAGUGGGGAAUAUUGGACAAUGGGCGCAAGCCUGAUCCAGCAAUGCCGCGUGGAUGAAGAAGGUUUUCGGAUUGUAAAGUCCUUUCGGCGGGGACGAUGAUGACGGUACCCGCAGAAGAAGCCCCGGCUAACUUCGUGCCAGCAGCCGCAGUAACAC
rnacentral:rRNA from 1 species